UACGUAGGUGGCGAGCGUUGUCCGGAAUUACUGGGUGUAAAGGGAGCGUAGGCGGGAGAGCAAGUCGACUGUGAAAUCUAUGGGCUUAACCCAUAGCUGCGAUCGAAACUGCUCAUCUUGAGUGAAGUAGAGGCAGGCGGAAUUCCUAGUGUAGCGGUGAAAUGCGUAAAUAUUAGGAGGAACACCAGUGGCGAAGGCGGCCUGCUGGGCUUUAACUGACGCUGAGGCUCGAAAGCGUGGGUAGCAAACAGG
rnacentral:rRNA from 1 species